rnacentral:lncRNA from 1 species
UCUGAUGCAGUUCCACACAAAAUGCUUAAUGGACUUUAAUUGACUUGGUAAGUACAGCAAACAUACAUGCAUCCUUGUAAUAAUAGUACACAAAGUGAAGGAAAGACCAGGCCUAAUACUUGCUGAUCCUUCCAACAGCUUACACAACCGAACAUCACAACUAAAAAGGACUUGAGAAAUGGAGCCAAGAAGGACUAGAAGAAAACACAAGAAGCAUUACCAAGGAGGUUCUUGCUUAAAAACCUUAGCAACCUCCUGAACCUGAAAUGCUAAGACGACUUAAACUAACCACAAGAAACCAACCAGAAGAUCACAUCAAGAGCAAGGAGUAUGGAUGGAUGCGGAUUAGUGGUCACUCUAAUAUGGCAACUAAUCCAUCCGGGGCAGAGGUGAGAGGGAGCGAGAGAGAGAGGAUGACACGAGAUUAACUGACUAAGAGCUCCGUAAUUACUUAGCCCGUGCCUCUGCCGCGAGCAUAAAAGGAGCCCAGAUUAGCAGCAGAGGAGCGAGCACGACGAGCGGAUGCAUGGGGAGAUCGAUGGUUUCAGCAUCUUCUUCUUCACGAGUGUUCACUCGUCGUCGGUGUCGUCGGAGACGGGAACGCCGCCGGCGCCGGCGCCGGCACCGGACUUGUCGGAGCGGGCGAGGCCCGAGAAGAUCCUGGAGACCGCGGCGGCGAGGUCCUUGACGAUCUGCUCCUUGAUCUGGCCCCUGCGCGGAGGCGGGAGCAGGGCGCGCGCCUCCCUGCCGCCGCCGCCGGCGCGCUCUGCCGCCACCGCGGCUGGGGGCAUGGCAGGAGCCUGAGUCUGGCAGCCCACCCUGGUGGCCAUCGGCGCUGGCGCCGGGGGAAACUGAUCUGUGGGAGACGGCGAGGAGGAGGAGGAGGAGGAGGCGGCGCCGG